AUCGAAGUAAUAAGACACAGUGGACUGGAAUGAAGCUACCUGAAGAAGAAAGGCACCAAAAAGUCAAGACCCGGCGAGACCGGGCAAAAUUGGACUUUCUUAGUCUUUGCUUUGUUAUCGUUACACGACAACGAGCAAAGAGGGGCAGCUGUACAGCCCAAUUUUGCCCACUACCCAAAUAGACCCAAAAAUAAGCCCAAACUAACCCACAGCCCAAAACCUAAAAACCCAAUACCCAUUUUCAGAAAAAAAAAAGCAAAAGAAAACCCUAGACCCCUAACCCUAGCCACCGCACCUAGCCCACUUGCCCUGCCACCGCCGUCUCUAACUAGCACUGCCAUGGUCACGUCGCCGGAUCACCACUUGCGCCUACAAAAUCAGAAAGGAGCGACAGAAAAACAAAAAAAAAGGGA
rnacentral:lncRNA from 1 species